rnacentral:rRNA from 1 species
UACGUAGGGGGCGAGCGUUGUCCGGAUUUAUUGGGCGUAAAGAGCUCGUAGGCGGCUUGGCAAGUCGGGUGUGAAACCUCCAGGCUCAACCUGGAGACGCCACUCGAUACUGCUAUGGCUAGAGUCCGGUAGGGGACCACGGAAUUCCUGGUGUAGCGGUGAAAUGCGCAGAUAUCAGGAGGAACACCGGUGGCGAAGGCGGUGGUCUGGGCCGGAACUGACGCUGAAUAGCGAAAGCGUGGGUAGCGAACAGG